GUGAAAUUGUUGAAAGGGAAGGGCUUGAGAUCAGACUUGGUAUUUUGCGUUCCCUUCCUUUUUGGUUGGGUUCCUCGCAGUUUACUGGGCCAGCAUCGGUUUGGAUGGUAGGAUAAUGACAUUGGAAUGUAGCUUUACUUCGGUGAAGUGUUAUAGACUUUGUUGAUACUGCCUAUCUAGACCGAGGACUGCGUCUUUGACUAGGAUGCUGGCGUAAUGAUCUUAAGCCGCCCGUCUUGAAACACGGACCAAGGAGUC
rnacentral:rRNA from 1 species